rnacentral:rRNA from 1 species
AGAGCGAACGCUGGCGGCAGGCUUAACACAUGCAAGUCGAGCGGGCGUAGCAAUACGUCAGCGGCAGACGGGUGAGUAACGCGUGGGAACGUACCUUUUGGUUCGGAACAACCCAGGGAAACUUGGGCUAAUACCGGGAUAAGCCCUUACGGGGAAAGAUUUAUCGCCGAAAGAUCGGCCCGCGUCUGAUUAGCUAGUUGGUGAGGUAACGGCUCACCAAGGCGACGAUCAGUAGCUGGUCUGAGAGGAUGAUCAGCCACAUUGGGACUGAGACACGGCCCAAACUCCUACGGGAGGCAGCAGUGGGGAAUAUUGGACAAUGGGCGCAAGCCUGAUCCAGCCAUGCCGCGUGAGUGAUGAAGGCCCUAGGGUUGUAAAGCUCUUUUGUGCGGGAAGAUAAUGACGGUACCGCAAGAAUAAGCCCCGGCUAACUUCGUGCCAGCAGCCGC